GCCGCUGCUGCCGCUCCUGCUCUGACUGCGCCCGCUGCGAGACCGGGGCCUCGCCGGGGCUCGCUGCUGCUUGAGCCGCUCAUCCCACAACUGCCGCAGCACAGGACAUCCUGAGUGGGAAUGGAUACACAAGGACCACCAAGUCGAACCCUUAUGUGAAUGGCUCCUCUGGCGAUUGAACCCACACCUAGGCACUCUCAGCACCCUGCUCCAGCCAAGCCAAUCUCAGCUCCUGGCAAUGUCCUGCCUGGGAUAGGAACACCAAGUGCCAGCAAGGCCAUUCCUAUUCAAAUACAGCUCCUUCUUUUAUGCUAAUGCUGCUUUCCACACCAGCCCCUGCAAUGGCCCCAGGGCAGAGCUCCAUGGCCAGCACCUGAUCAUGCAACAACACAGGUGAGCAGUUGUGUGACAGCACUGAACUCUUCCCCUAACCCUGAUUUCCUGCCCUUUCCAGGAUUUACCCAACAGCUGUAAAGGUGCUCGUUCCAUGGCCCUUUCCAGGGAGAAAUGAGCAAGGCAAGUCCUGAAGGUUCACUUGGUCCACGGCCAAAGCUCUUCUGGAGAGUGUCAGGGCUGCUCCUGCCUGCAGAGGGGCCUUUCCCACAGGUGCCCUGGGGAUGCCAGGGAGGUGCCUUUGCCCACAGUGCCUUUCUCCUGCCCCUCUCCAGCCCGAGGCCUCUUCUCCCUUCCCUGCCAGCUGCUGCCAAAGAAGGAGGACACAUUCCCCACUGAGAAGAACACAACCUCACAGCUGUUAAGGCCUGACAGUUCCCUGCAGGGAGAGCUCAGCACAUGUGCCCAGAGGCAAUCCCAGCAUCUGAAAGAAAGAAAGAAGCAGCAAAAGUGACUUUUGCAAGCAAACUCUGAAGCUGACAAGCCCAGAAGCUCCAUCCAUCCACUCUGGAAGGAAAGGAUACUCCCAGGGAUGAGGCACAUUCCCAGCAAACUCUCCCAACACAGCCUGGAGGCAGCGCUGGAGCUCGGGUGUGGGGCUGGGAAGGGCUGCCAGGAGCACGCAGCUCCCAGGUGGGGUGGCAGCAGCAGCAG